AUCUCCGCACGAAAGCUUCGACCU
rnacentral:siRNA from 1 species